UACGUAGGUGGCAAGCGUUGUCCGGAAUUAUUGGGCGUAAAGCGCGCGCAGGCGGUCCUUUAAGUCUGAUGUGAAAGCCCACGGCUCAACCGUGGAGGGUCAUUGGAAACUGGGGGACUUGAGUGCAGGAGAGGAGAGUGGAAUUCCACGUGUAGCGGUGAAAUGCGUAGAGAUGUGGAGGAACACCAGUGGCGAAGGCGACUCUUUGGGCUGUAACUGACGCUGAGGCGCGAAAGCGUGGGGAGCAAACAGG
rnacentral:rRNA from 1 species